UGGUCAGCCCGGGCCAAGGUAAUUCUCAUCAUGAGGAGAGGCGCCCGUUUAAAAUGCACAGUCACAGGGCAGCUGGCGUCUCUUCCCAGAAUGCUUCCUCUGGACUUAAGUGGGUUCUUUUAUCUGUUUUUCUCUUUUUGGUUUUUAAAAAAGUAAAGUUGGACUUGCAAACACUAGCAACAAUUUCCUUAGAAAAGCAAUUCUGAAAAAUCAGGAGUCCCUGUUCAAAGAAUGCUCUCCAAAAGCUAUCGGGGGCAGAGGAAUUAAGGAGCAGAUCGUAAAACAAAAUACAUCAAACAUAUAAAGCAUCCAAGUAGGAGGCUUUGGAUCUCCAUGAACAGUUGGACACAUCAGCCAUAGCAGAGCAGUACUGGGCAAUUGGAUAUAUGCAGAGAAAUGGGGGCAGGCAUCCAAGAGGCCUUGCUCAAGAAGGUGGUCGGGGUCAGCAAGAACCAAGCAUGGGUCACAGAUGGCAUCUGAGAAGGUACAGAUUUCUCCUGGGAAUCUACUAUCUGCGCUAACUAAUGAGAGCAAAACAGGGUCCUUCUCUGCAGCACCAG
rnacentral:lncRNA from 1 species